UUGGGGACUGAGAAUGGGUCAUUUUGGUGCCAUCUUUGUCCCAGAUGAGCCCAUCCAGCCAAUUGACCCUGCUGCCUGGGUGUCCCAUUCCGCGGCUCUGACUGGCACCUUCCCAGCCUAUCCAGGUUCCUCCUCCAUGAGCACCAUUACAUCUGGAUCGUCUUUGCCUGAUGGCUGUGAAGGCCGGGGUCUCUCUGUCCAUACGGACAUGGCAUCGGUGACCAAGGCCAUGGCAGCUCCAGAGUCUGGACUGGAAGUCCGGGACCGCAUGUGGCUCAAGAUCACCAUCCCUAAUGCCUUUCUGGGUAUGGCUGGGUCCUGGGCAGGUGGCUGGAGAAGGGGAGGAGGAGGUGACCAAAGCCAGGAAUGGCACAGGCAGAGGCGAGAGCAGGAGUUGGAAGAAGAACCUGAGGACAUUUUCCACUGUGGUGCUCCCAGGCUCGGAUGUGGUUGACUGGCUCUACCAUCACGUGGAGGGCUUUCCUGAGCGGCGGGAGGCCCGCAAGUAUGCCAGCGGGCUGCUCAAAGCAGGCCUGAUCCGACACACCGUCAACAAGAU
rnacentral:sRNA from 1 species